UCUUCAUCAAUUGCUAGCAGUAUAGGGCCUAAGAUCACAGCUGAACAUUUGAUUCCUCGUAAGAGUUAGAAGGCAGAAAUAUAUAUUAGCCAGGUCAUAUGUCGCAGAGGAUUAAGUUCCAUUAAAUCUUUCAUUAUCUUCACGGAAGUACCUUUUUCCUCCCUUGCAAGGCUAAGAUGAAUCAUUUCCAGCACAGUGAUAUAAGGUAUGAAUUCACUUCAGCCAUCCAUGCUCAGGUACAUGAAACUACAAGAAGAGCUAAAUGAUUCAAACACCAGCUUCUAUACUGUAUGGAAUCUAGUCUCCAAGGAAUCAUCAUAUCCCCUGUGGCUCCUCUUGCAGCUCUACAAAUACUGCAAGAUCAGGCAACCUGUGCUCACAACACUCAUCCCGACAGUGCAGAGCUGUGAAGGAUCCAUGCUUCUGUCACAGAUGGUGGACAGCAAUGGGACGUAUGGCU